rnacentral:rRNA from 1 species
CCUACGGGAGGCAGCAGUAGGGAAUUUUCGUCAAUGGGCGCAAGCCUGAACGAGCAAUGCCGCGUGAACGAGGAAGGUCUUCGGAUCGUAAAGUUCUGUUGAAGGGGAAAAAGAGCGGAGAGAGGAAAUGAACUCCGAUUGAUAUUACCCUUCGAGGAAGUCACGGCUAACUACGUGCCAGCAGCCGCGGUAAUACGUAGGUGGCGAGCGUUAACCGGAAUGAUUGGGCGUAAAGGGUGCGUUGGCGGCAUGCUAAGUCUGGAGUGAAAGGUACGGGCUCAACCGGUAUAGGCUCUGGAAACUGGCGGGCUAGAGAGCAGGAGAGGGCGGUGGAACUCCAUGUGUAGCGGUAAAAUGCGUAGAUAUAUGGAAGAACACCAGUGGCGAAGGCGGCCGCCUGGCCUGUUACUGACGCUGAGGCACGAAAGCGUGGGGAGCAAAUAGGAUUAGAUACCCGGGUAGUC